rnacentral:rRNA from 1 species
GAAACACGGACCAAGGAGUCUAGCAUGUGCGCGAGUCAUUGGGAUAUAACUAAACCUAAAGGCGAAAUGAAAGUGAAGGUCAGCCUCGCGCUGACCGAGGGAGGAUGGGCCUUCCUACGGGAGGCCCCGCACUCCCGGGGCGUCUCGUUCUCAUCGCGAGAGGAGGCGCACCCAGAGCGUACACGCUGGGACCCGAAAGAUGGUGAACUAUGCCUGGUCAGGACGAAGUCAGGGGAAACCCUGAUGGAGGUCCGUAGCGAUUCUGACGUGCAAAUCGAUCGUCGGAACUGGGUAUAGGGGCGAAAGACUAAUCGAACCAUCUAGUAGCUGGUUCCCUCCGAAGUUUCCCUCAGGAUAGCUGGCGCUCGCCGCGCGCGAGUCUCAUCCGGUAAAGCGAAUGAUUAGAGGCAUUGGGGUCGAAACGGCCUCAACCUAUUCUCAAACUUUAAAUGGGUGAGAUCUCCGGCUUGCUCGAACACGUGAAGCCGCGAGAUUUCGGAUCAGAGUGCCAAGUGGGCCACUUUUGGUAAGCAGAACUGGCGCUGUGGGAUGAACCAAACGCAGAGUUAAAGCGCCCAAAUCGACGCUUAUGGGAUACCAUGAAAGGCGUUGGUAACUUAAGACAGCAGGACGGUGGCCAUGGAAGUCGGAAUCCGCUAG